UCUCUCUCUCUCUCUCUCUGUCUCUCUCUCUCUCUCUCUCUCUCUCUCUCUGUCUCUGUUUUCCUUGAAUUCAUCUUUGAAGGAAUGUCUUUAUAGGCAGUCAUGUGGCCCCCUAGGACCUAGCUGGAAGCGCAAUUCUUGUAAUCUUGAUGCAAGGCAUGCAUUGGGGGCCAUGACUGAAAUCUUGAACAUGUUCGCUGGAAUCUUGAGAAUCUUUGGGUAUCAUCAUUGCAGGAAUCCUAGAUUUUUUGGUUGCGUUAAUCUCGAAUGGGCUCACCAACAUCUUGCAUAUGGUGGUUGAAAUCAUAGGUAAGGUCAUCGGAAUCUUGCUUAUGGUUGCCAAAACAUGUAGAGAGAGGGAGGAGGAGAGUCUUAUUGGGGUAAUGUGAGUGAGAAUUGUGGAGAUAGGAUGAGAGAUAGUAGGAUUGUCUUGGUAUGAAGAGAGAGAAAGGGAUAAGGAAAGGGGAUCAAUGGUGGUGGGGAUGUGUUCAUAUGGAGAAAGAGAGAGAACCAGGGAGAGAGGUCCAGUGGGUUUAAGGCUUUGGAUAUGGUCUUUGAGAUCAGAAAAAUGAACAAAGCUCUAGUUCAAACAGUAGUAGUAUGGCCAUGUGAAGUUUCCAUUGAGUGAGAGGCCUUGACGAAGUCCCCAUGGAGUCAUAGCGAGCAAGAGAGAGUUAUAGCGAGCAAGAGAGUUACAGAGAGCAACAAAGCGAGUUUUGUUUGGCUGUAAAAAAUAGUAGUUUGUUUUAUAGGCGAGAUGUUAUUUAGGACGGAAAUUAAGUUCAAUAGAGAGAAAGAUGGUUUGGAAUGGGAAUUUGUAAUGCAAAUUCGAGGAAGUCCUUGCUACUAGGAAAGUACUCCAUAUUUUAAUUUUCUACUAGGUGGCGCCUCAAGGCAAUGCAGGGGCCUAGGCGCCUCAUACAGGCCAAGACAAGCGUUCCUACAUGGGUCAACUUGAGGUGUUUGCUUCACACCUAAGCUGAGGCACCUUCCUCAGGUUGCAAAUGGCCCAAGGAAGGAACAUGCCUUCGGUCAUGAAUUUUCGUUUUUCUCCCACACUGAGGCUGAGGAAAACUCUAUGGAAAAUCAAAUCCAGAAUAUUUGGAUUUGAUUCUUAGGGAAAUAUCACUAGAGGUUAUUAAAGGAUAUCUUGGGUGAUUUAAAACUCGAUAUUCAUUCAAAACAUUGAGGAUUGAAGAUCGAGCAACAAAGGUGAGUCAUUUUUUGUUAAAGUUCUUAGCAUCUGAGAUCUUUCACGAUGUCUUUGUGGUUAUCUUGCAUGUGUGAAAUGUGAUUCAACUUUUAGCCAAUCACUUGCAAACUUCUGAUUUUAAGAUAAGAAAAGAAGAAGAUGACCUUUAAGUGUUUCAUGCGAGGCCUCUUAACACUGGCUAGUGAUAAUUUUCUUGCCUGGUUCACACUAAUAUUUGUUGUCCUGUCUAGGAAGUUCCAAUCCACAACCCAGUAUAUCUUAUGCUGGGAACAUCCUUUGGCUCAGCUGCAAAGGGCACUGGACUAAAGGCACUUGAAUUUGCUCUCUCAGUCUGUGACUCCNNNNNNNNNNNNNNNNNNNNAACGUACGUACGUAACGUAACGUUAACGUAACCUAACCUACCUACAACUACCGUACUACUUAGUUAGUAAUAUUACUUCUACGUCGUCUCUCUCUCUCUCUCUCUCUCUCUCUCUCUCUCUCUCUCUCUCUCUCUCUCUCUCUCUCUGUUUUCCUUGAAUUCAUCUUUGAAAGAAUGUCUUUAUAGGCAGUCAUGUGGCCCCCUAGGACCUAGCUGGAAGCGAAAUUCUUGUAAUCUUGUUGCAAGGCAUGCAUUGGGGGCCAUGACUGAAAUCUUGAACAUGUUCGCCGGAAUCUUGAGAAUCUUUGGGUAUCAUCAUUGCAGGAAUCCUAAAUUGUUUGGUUGCGUUAAUCUCGAAUGGGCUCACCAACAUCUUGCAUAUGGUGGUUGAAAUCAUAGGUAAGGUCAUCGGAAUCUUGCUUAUGGUUGCCAAAACAUGUAAAGAGAGGGAGGGGAGAGUCUUAUUGGGGUAAUGUGAGUGAGAAUUGUGGAGAUAGGAUGAGAGAUAGUAGGAUUGUCUUGGUAUGAAGAGAGAGAAAGGGAUAAGGAAAGGGGAUCAAUGGCGGUGGGGAUGUGUUCAUAUGGAGAAAGAGAGAGAACCAGGGAGAGAGAGAACCAGGGAGAGAGGUGUUCAUAUGGAGAAAGAGAGAGAACCAGGGAGAGAG
rnacentral:lncRNA from 1 species